rnacentral:rRNA from 1 species
UACAGAGGUCUCAAGCGUUGUUCGGAUUCAUUGGGCGUAAAGGGUGCGUAGGCGGCGCGGUAAGUCGGGUGUGAAAUCUCGGAGCUUAACUCCGAAACUGCAUUCGAUACUGCCGUGCUUGAGGACUGGAGAGGAGACUGGAAUUUACGGUGUAGCGGUGAAAUGCGUAGAUAUCGGGAGGAACACCAGUGGCGAAGGCGACUUCCUGGCCUGUUCUUGACGCUGAGGCGCGAAAGCUAGGGGAGCAAACGGG